GAGAACUGCAUAACUGAAAUCUCAAAUGAUGGGGUAACGCCCGGAAGGGGAUUCACUGAUACUCCGAGUAGCGUCAGCCAGAUACAGUGGCUGGGGUUAUAAGCGCGGGAAAGUCGUGCGAAGCACACCCUAACGCUGAAAGGCGAGGAAAGAUUCAUAGAGGUAUGAGUUGUGUGUGACAGUGCGGGUGGGGCUGCC
rfam:Clostridiales bacterium 1_7_47_FAA supercont2.3 genomic scaffold, whole genome shotgun sequence.